AUGAACAAGCUCCUAGGAGCAUUAUUUUUAAUUUUAUGGCUUCCACUAGGCUGGGUGAGUGGCCAACAGAAGGACAAAAGUGACCAACAGCAGGUGAAGCAAAAUCCUCAAUCUCUGGUAGUCCAGGAAGGAAAGACUUCAAUUCUCAAUUGUGCUUAUGAUAACAGUGCAUUUGACUACUUCCCAUGGUACCGACAAUACUCUGGUAAAGGCCCUACAUUUUUGAUAGCCAUACGUUCAGUUGCAAGUAAAGAGGAAAAUGGAAGAUUCACAGUCCUCUUCAAUAAAACUGCCAAACACUUCUCUUUGCACAUCGUGGCUUCCCAGCUGGCUGACUCAGCCACCUACUUCUGUGCAGCAAGUGCACAGUGCUCUGCAGGCAUCUGCAGCCUGCACCCAAACCUGCAGCUGGGGCUUCAGCCAAACCUUGCUCUUGGAGCUUCGGCUGGCAGAUAUGUAGACCAGUGUUCAUUUAUGCAUUGUUGUUAUUGUGCUUGUUAG